rnacentral:rRNA from 1 species
UACGGAGGGUGCAAGCGUUGUUCGGAUUUAUUGGGCGUAAAGCGCGUGUAGGCGGUUUCUUAAGUCUGAUGUGAAAGCCCUGGGCUCAACCCAGGAAGUGCAUUGGAUACUGGGAGACUUGAAUACGGGGAGAGGGUAGUGGAAUUCCUAGUGUAGGAGUGAAAUCCGUAGAUAUUAGGAGGAACACCGGUGGCGAAGGCGGCUACCUGGACCGAUAUUGACGCUGAGACGCGAAAGCGUGGGGAGCAAACAGG